ACACAUGCAAGUCGAGCGAUGACGCUCCCUUCGGGGGGUACAUAGCGGCGAACGGGUGAGUAACACGUUGGUGACCUUCCCCACAGACGGGGAUAACGCUUGGAAACAGGUGCUAAUACCCGAUGUGCUCAGCAGUUCACUCUGUUGAGUAAAGCUAUGGCGCUUUGGGAUGGGCCCGCGGCCCAUCAGCUAGUUGGUAGGGUAAAGGCCUACGCAUGCUAAGACGGGUAGGGGGCGUGAGAGCGCGAUCCCCCACACUGGCACUGAGACACGGGCCAGACUCCUACUGGGAGGCAGCAGUGAGGAAUAUUGCGCAAUGGACGAAAGUCUGACGCAGUGACUGCCGCGUGGGCGAUGAAGAGCCUUCGGGUCGUAAAGCGCCUUUUCUGGGGGAAGAGAAAGGACGGUACCCCAGGAAUAAGCCCCGGCUAACGUACGUGCCAGCAGCCGCGGUAAAACGUAUGGGGCAAGCGUAAUCCGGAUUUACUGGGCGUAAAGAUGCGUUGAUGCGGUUUUGUAAGUUGGGCGUGAAAGCCCUGGGCUUAACUCAGGGAAGCCGUUCAAUACUGCGAAACUUGAGGGCAGCGAGAGGGAGGUGGAAUUCCCGGACGUAGCGGUGAAAGUGCGUAGAUAUCGGGAGGAACACCAGUGGCGAAGCCGGCCUCCUGGGAUGCUCGAGACGCUGAAGGCGAAAGCUAGGGGAGCAGAACGGGAUUAGAAACCCCGGUAGUCCUAGCAGUUGACCGAUGGAUGAUAGGUAUGGGGAUUCUAGAUUCCCUCCAGUGCCAGCAGUUAACGCGCUUAAGCAUCCCGCCUUGGGGAGUACAGGCCGCAAGGCUAAAACUCAGACGAAUUGACGGGGGCCCGCACAAGCAUCGGAGCCUAUGGUUUAAUUCGAUGCUACCCGAAGAACCUUACCUGGGCUUGACAUACAGGUAGUAGUGAACUGGAAGCGGAUCGAUCAGUUCGGGGAGCCUGUACAGGUGCUGCAUGGCUGUCGUCAGCUCUUGCCGUGAGUUGUCGGGUUUAGUCCCGUGACGAGCGCAACCCUUGCUAUUAGUUAUACGUGUAUAAGAGGCAUGCCGGCGGUAAGCCGGAGGAAGGUGGGGAUGAAGUCAAGUCAGCAUGGCACAUUAUGUCCAGCGCUACACACACGCUACACAUGGCCGGUACAAUGGGUAGCUAAACCGGCGAGGUGGAGCCAAUCCUGUGAACCCAGGUCUCAGUUCGAAUUGCAGGCUGCAACUGGCCUGCAUGAAGUCGGAGUUGCUAGUAAUCGCAGGUCAGCAA
rnacentral:rRNA from 1 species